UACGGGGGGGGCAAGCGUUGUUCGGAAUUACUGGGCGUAAAGGGCUCGUAGGCGGCCAACUAAGUCGGAUGUGAAAUCCCCAGGCUCAACCUGGGAACUGCAUCCGAUACUGGAUGGCUUGAAUUCGGGAGAGGGAUGCAGAAUUCCUGGUGUAGCGGUGAAAUGCGCAGAUAUCAGGAGGAACACCGAUGGCGAAGGCAGGUCUCUGGGCAUUAACUGACGCUGAGGAGCGAAAGCAUGGGGAGCGAACAGG
rnacentral:rRNA from 1 species